rnacentral:rRNA from 1 species
AGUUCGGAUUGCAGGCUGCAACUCGCCUGCAUGAAGUCGGAAUUGCUAGUAAUCGCGGAUCAGCAUGCCGCGGUGAAUACGUUCUCGGGCCUUGUACACACCGCCCGUCACACCAUGGGAGUCGGUAACACCCGAAGUCGGUAGCCUAACCGUAAGGAGGGCGCCGCCGAAGGUGGGAUUGAUGACUGGGGUGAAGUCGUAACAAGGUAAC